CAGGCCCGGCUGCUGCUGGCUGGAUGCCCCGUGGGUCAUGGUGUCACAGGAAUCUGUGGAUCUUAAGGAUUACUCUCCGUGUGGCAGGGGUUGAGGAGGAAGCACUGUCUCCUUGCUGCCUUCCCGCAACAGAACUAGCCGGGAGAGUCUUGUCUCAUUCUGGCCAUGUGUCCAUCAGGAAAACGCUGGUCUCUGCCCCCAGGUACGCCCCUCAUCCCCUCUGUGACCCUGAGCAGGUCAUUUGCCCGAUUUUUCCUCUUUCACGAAUUCUGGACGAUGAGGGUUAUAAUACCAGCCCUGCCGGGAGAAGCAAGUGAAUUUUGCAAGAGAACAUAAUGAUUAAAAGCACAGUCAC
rnacentral:lncRNA from 1 species